GGCGCCGUGCCCGAGUGGCUAAGGGAAAGGUCUGCAAAACCUUUAUUCGUGGGUUCGAUUCCCACCGGCGCCUCCA
rnacentral:tRNA from 1 species